AUGGCGCAAUCUGACGUAAGAAUCAUCUGCUGGAACGUCCGCUGUCUCAACUCCCCCGCUCUCCGUGAUGCCGUCCGCGACAUGGUGCGUGAUGCGCAUGCCACCAUCGUUUGUCUCCAAGAGACAAAACUGCAAUUAGUGGACGACUCCAUCAUCCGGGGCAUGCUUGGCCCAUGCUUUGUUGCAAACUAG
rnacentral:rRNA from 1 species